rnacentral:rRNA from 1 species
UUGUCCUACGGGGGGCAGCAGUGGGGAAUAUUGCACAAUGGGGGGAACCCUGAUGCAGCGACGCCGCGUGAGGGAAGACGGCCCUAUGGGUUGUAAACCUCUUUUGUCGGAGAACAAAACCCGGGACGUGUCCCGGACUGCGUGUAUCCGAAGAAAAAGCAUCGGCUAACUCCGUGCCAGCAGCCGCGGUAAUACGGAGGAUGCGAGCGUUAUCCGGAUUUAUUGGGUUUAAAGGGUGCGUAGGCGGUCCGUUAAGUCAGCGGUAAAAUUGCGGGGCUCAACCCCGUCGAGCCGUUGAAACUGGC